rnacentral:tRNA from 1 species
UCCCUAGUGGCUCAGAUGGUAAAGUGUCUGUCUGCAAUGCAGGAGACCCAGGUUUGAUCCCUGGGUUGGGGA